UGGCAUAACUGAAGAAUGGUAGAAUGUUUUCUAUUAUACUUGCCCUACCUUCAUAUCAAUCUAAAAGUUUCACAAGGGAUGUUUGGAGACUGAUAAGUGGAACCGCAUGUAGCUCAAGUUGCAAGAGUAGGCAAGUCCACUUGUUUGGAUGCCUGUAAUUCAAAUUGCAUAGUAAGUUGAGUUAUAUAUUGGACUACAACUCAGGAC
rnacentral:lncRNA from 1 species